GCCGUCGUGGCGCAAUGGCAGCGCAUCACCUUCCUACGCUUAUGGAACAAGUUUCCCAGCGCAUGAGGUGGGGGUUGCGGGUUCGACCCCCGUCGACGGUA